GCGGACGGGUGAGUAAUACGUGGGUAACCUGCCCCUUUGUGGGGGAUAACAUUUGGAAACAGAUGCUAAUACCGCAUAGAUCCAAGAACCGCAUGGUUCUUGGCUGAAAGACGGCGUAAGCUAUCGCUUUUGGAUGGACCCGCGGCGUAUUAGCUAGUUGGUGAGGUAAUGGCUCACCAAGGCGAUGAUACGUAGCCGAGCUGAGAGGUUGAUCGGCCACAUUGGGACUGAGACACGGCCCAAACUCCUACGGGAGGCAGCAGUAGGGAAUCUUCCACAAUGGACGCAAGUCUGAUGGAGCAACGCCGCGUGAGUGAAGAAGGCUUUCGGGUCGUAAAACUCUGUUGUUUGAGAAGAAUGGUCGGCAGAGUAACUGUUGUCGGCGUGACGGUAUCCAACCAGAAAGCCACGGCUAACUACGUGCCAGCAGCCGCGGUAAUACGUAGGUGGCAAGCGUUAUCCGGAUUUAUUGGGCGUAAAGCGAGCGCAGGCGGUUUUUUAAGUCUGAUGUGAAAGCCCUCGGCUUAACCGAGGAAGCGCAUCGGAAACUGGGAAACUUGAGUGCAGAAGAGGACAGUGGAACUCCAUGUGUAGCGGUGAAAUGCGUAGAUAUAUGGAAGAACACCAGUGGCGAAGGCGGCUGUCUGGUCUGUAACUGACGCUGAGGCUCGAAAGCAUGGGUAGCGAACAGGAUUAGAUACCCUGGUAGUCCAUGCCGUAAACGAUGAAUGCUA
rnacentral:rRNA from 1 species